rnacentral:rRNA from 1 species
GGGUCUUAGGUAGUUUACCCAAGCAAAAGACUUUUAGUUUGCCCCCCCGAAACUAAGUGAGCUACUUUAAAAUAGCCCCAGAGCCAACCCAUCUCUGUUGCAAUAGAGUGGGAUAAUUUUUAAGUAGAGGUGAUAAACCUAUCGAACUUAGAGAUAGCUGGUUUUUUAAGAAAAGAUUUUUAGUUCAGCCCUGAGUCUUCUAUUACACAAGAAUUAAACUAAACUCAGGAGUUAUUCAAAUAAGGCACAGCUUAUUUGAAACAGGAUACAACCUAGAAAAAAGGGUAAGACAAAUUUAAUCUCUGACAAGUGGGCCUGAAAGCAGCCACCUUUUAAAAAGCGUCAAAGCUUAACAUUAAUAAUUUUCUUAAUAUCUAAAUUAAUUUCUAACCCUUAUUUACUAUUAAAAAACUCCCUCAAAAUUUUGUGGGAUUUUUUUGGAAAAGAAAAAGAGGAGAAUUUUUUCUCCCAAAAAAGAAGGUUCGCAAGCCACAACAGACAAACUGAUGGCAAUUAACGUUUAUGAGUCACUUGUAGUAACACCAACAGGAAAACUCUACAUGAGUUCUAACGUCAACCUUACACCAGCACAUUUAUGGAAAGAUUAAAAGAGCGGGAAGGAACUCGGCAAACACGGAUCCCGCCUGAUUCUAAAAAAAAACACAAAGAAA